UGUGCCAGCAGCCGCGGUGAUACAGAGGGUGCAAGCGUUAAUCGGAAUUACUGGGCGUAAAGCGAGCGUAGGUGGCUUGAUAAGUCAGAUGUGAAAGCCCCGGGCUUAACCUGGGAACGGCAUCUGAUACUGUUAGGCUAGAGUAGGUGAGAGGAAGGUAGAAUUCCAGGUGUAGCGGUGAAAUGCGUAGAGAUCUGGAGGAAUACCGAUGGCGAAGGCAGCCUUCUGGCAUCAUACUGACACUGAGGUUCGAAAGCGUGGGUAGCAAACAGGAUUAGAUACCCUGGUAGUCCACGCCGUAAACGAUGUCUACUAGUCGUUGGGUCCCUUGAGGACUUAGUGACGCAGCUAACGCAAUAAGUAGACCGCGUGGGGAGUACGGCCGCAAGGUUAAAACUCAAAUGAAUUGACGGGGGCCCGCACAAGCGGUGGAGCAUGUGGUUUAAUUCGAUGCAACGCGAAGAACCUCACCUGGUCUUGACAUAUCUAGAAUCCUGCAGAGAUGCGGGAGUGCCUUCGGGAAUUAGAAUACAGGUGCUGCAUGGCUGUCGUCAGCUCGUGUCGUGAGAUGUUGGGUUAAGUCCCGCAACGAGCGCAACCCUUGUCCUUAGUUACCAGCGGUUUGGCCGGGAACUCUAAGGAUACUGCCAGUGACAAACUGGAGGAAGGCGGGGACGACGUCAAGUCAUCAUGGCCCUUACGACCAGGGCUACACACGUGCUACAAUGGUAGGUACAGAGGGCAGCUACACAGCGAUGUGAUGCGAAUCUCAAAAAGCCUAUCGUAGUCCAGAUUGGAGUCUGCAACUCGACUCCAUGAAGUAGGAAUCGCUAGUAAUCGCGGAUCAGAAUGCCGCGGUGAAUACGUUCCCGGGCCUUGUACACACCGCCCGUCACACCAUGGGAGUUGAUUGCACCAGAAGUGGUUAGCCUAACCUUUUAGGAAGGCGAUCACCACGGUGUGGUUGAUGACUGGGGUGAAGUCGUAACAAGGUAACCGA
rnacentral:rRNA from 1 species